rnacentral:rRNA from 1 species
UACGUAGGGUGCGAGCGUUGUCCGGAAUUAUUGGGCGUAAAGAGCUUGUAGGCGGUUUGUCGCGUCUGCUGUGAAAAUCCGGGACUCGACCCCGGACCUGCAGUGGGUACGGGCAGACUAGAGUGUGGUAGGGGAGACUGGAAUUCCUGGUGUAGCGGUGAAAUGCGCAGAUAUCAGGAGGAACACCGAUGGCGAAGGCAGGUCUCUGGGCCACUACUGACGCUGAGAAGCGAAAGCAUGGGGAGCGAACAGG